rnacentral:rRNA from 1 species
UACCAGCACCCCGAGUGGUCGGGACGAUUAUUGGGCCUAAAGCAUCCGUAGCCGGUUCUGCAAGUCCCCCGUUAAAUCCAGCCGCUCAACGGUUGGGCUGCGGAGGAUACUACGUGGCUAGGAGGCGGGAGAGGCAAGCGGUACUCAGUGGGUAGGGGUAAAAUCCUUUGAUCCAUUGAAGACCACCAGUGGCGAAGGCGGCUUGCCAGAACGCGCUCGACGGUGAGGGAUGAAAGCUGGGGGGAGCAAACCGG